rnacentral:misc_RNA from 1 species
CUUCCUCGCAGAACGCCCAAAAGCCAGUUCGUCCUCAACCAUCGCAGGAUUGAAAGCGACGUAGCGGACAUG